CUUCGGGUUGUAAAGCUCUUCUCGGCCGGGAAGAAAUCGCAUAGGUUAAUACCCUGUGUGGAUGACGGUACCGGAAUAAGAAGCACCGGCUAACUACGUGCCAGCAGCCGCGGUAAUACGUAGGGUGCGAGCGUUAAUCGGAAUUACUGGGCGUAAAGCGUGCGCAGGCGGUUUUGUAAGACAGGCGUGAAAUCCCCGGGCUUAACCUGGGAACUGCGCUUGUGACUGCAAGGCUAGAGUACGGCAGAGGGGGGUGGAAUUCCACGUGUAGCAGUGAAAUGCGUAGAGAUGUGGAGGAACACCAAUGGCGAAGGCAGCCCCCCUGGGUCGAUACUGACGCUCAUGCACGAAAGCGUGGGUAGCAAACAGGAUUAGAUACCCUGGUAGUCCACGCCCUAAACGAUGUCAACUAGGUGUUGGGUGGGUAAAACCAUUUAGUACCGGAGCUAACGCGUGAAGUUGACCGCCUGGGGAGUACGGCCGCAAGGUUAAAGCUCAAAGGAAUUGACGGGGACCCGCACAAGCGGUGGAUGAUGUGGAUUAAUCCGAUGCAACGCGAAAAACCUUACCUACCCUUGACAUGUCUGGAAUCCUGAAGAGAUUUGGGAGUGCUCGAAAGAGAACCGGAACACAGGUGCUGCAUGGCUGUCGUCAGCUCGUGUCGUGAGAUGUUGGGUUAAGUCCCGCAACGAGCGCAACCCUUGUCGUUAAUUGCCAUCAUUUAGUUGGGCACUUUAACGAGACUGCCGGUGACAAACAGGAGGAAGGUGGGGAUGACGUCAAGUCCUCAUGGCCCUUAUGGGUAGGGCUUCACACGUCAUACAAUGGUCGGUACAGAGGGUUGCCAAGCCGCGAGGUGGAGCCAAUCCAGAAAGCGAUCGUAGUCCGGAUGCAGGCUGCACU
rnacentral:rRNA from 1 species